UGCCAAAUGGACCCGAGUGGGAGCCUG
rnacentral:piRNA from 1 species